GACGAAAGUCUGACGGAGCAACGCCGCGUGUACGACGAAGGCCUUCGGGUUGUAAAGUACUGUCUUCAGGGACGAACGGUAGGUAUGAAAAUAUUGUACUUACAUGACGGUACCAUGGGAGGAAGCCCCGGCUAACUACGUGCCAGCAGCCGCGGUAAUACGUAGGGGGCAAGCGUUGUCCGGAAUUAUUGGGCGUAAAGGGUGCGUAGGCGGCCUUUCAAGUUGGAUGUGAAAUCUCCGUGCUUAACAUGGAAAUUGCAUUCAAAACUGGAGGGCUUGAGUGUGGAAGAGGUAAGUGGAAUUCCCAGUGUAGCGGUGAAAUGCGUAGAUAUUGGGAGGAACACCAGUGGCGAAGGCGACUUACUGGGCCACAACUGACGCUGAUGCACGAAAGCGUGGGGAGCAAACAGGAUUAGAUACCCUGGUAGUCCACGCUGUAAACGAUGGAUACUAGGUGUAGGGGGUAACACCCCCCCUGUGCCGCAGCAAACGCAUUAAGUAUCCCCGCCUGGGGAGU
rnacentral:rRNA from 1 species